rnacentral:rRNA from 1 species
AUUGAACGCUGGCGGCAGGCCUAACACAUGCAAGUCGAGCGAGCGGCGGACGGGUGAGUAAUGUCUGGGAAACUGCCUGAUGGAGGGGGAUAACUACUGGAAACGGUAGCUAAUAUCGCAUACCAUCAGAUGUGCCCAGCUGGGCUUAGCUAGUAGGUUGGGUAACGGCUCACCUAGGCGACGACCCCUAGCUGGUCUGAGCGGAUGACCAGCCACGCUGGAACUGAGACACGGUCAAGACUCCUAGGGUGGGCAGCAGUGGGUAAUAUUGCACAAUGGGAGCAAGCCUGAUGCAGCCACGCCGCGUGUGUGAAGAGGGCCUUCGGGUUGUAAAGCACUUUCAGCGGGGAGGCGUUACCCGCAGAAGAAGCACCGGCUAACUCCGUGCCAGCAGCCGCGGUAAUAC